rnacentral:rRNA from 1 species
UACGUAGGGGGCAAGCGUUGUCCGGAUUUAUUGGGCGUAAAGAGCUCGUAGGCGGUCUGUCGCGUCGGAUGUGAAAACCCAGGGCUCAACCCUGGGCCUGCAUUCGAUACGGGCAGACUAGAGUAUGGCAGGGGAGACUGGAAUUCCUGGUGUAGCGGUGAAAUGCGCAGAUAUCAGGAGGAACACCGGUGGCGAAGGCGGGUCUCUGGGCCAAAACUGACGCUGAGGAGCGAAAGCGUGGGGAGCGAACAGG